AGAGUUUGAUCCUGGCUCAGAGUGAACGCUGGCGGCGUGCUUAACACAUGCAAGUCGAACGAUGAAGCUCUAGCUUGCUAGAGUGGAUUAGUGGCGCACGGGUGAGGAAUAUAUAGCUAAUGUGCCCCUUAGAGGGGGAUAACAGUUGGAAACGACUGCUAAUACCCCAUACUCCUUCUUGUCAUAAGACAAGUUGGGAAAGUUUUUUCGCUAAGGGAUCGGGCUAUACGGUAUCAGCUUGUUGGUGAGGUAAUGGCUCACCAAGGCUAUGACGCCUAACUGGUCUGAGAGGAUGAUCAGUCACACUGGAACUGAGACACGGUCCAGACUCCUACGGGAGGCAGCAGUGGGGAAUAUUGCACAAUGGGGGAAACCCUGAUGCAGCAACGCCGCGUGGAGGAUGACACAUUUCGGUGCGUAAACUCCUUUUAUAUGGGAAGAUAAUGACGGUACCAUAUGAAUAAGCACCGGCUAACUCCGUGCCAGCAGCCGCGGUAAUACGGAGGGUGCAAGCGUUACUCGGAAUCACUGGGCGUAAAGCGCGCGCAGGCGGCCCCUUAAGUUGGAUGUGAAAUCCUAUGGCUCAACCAUAGAACUGCAUCCAAAACUGAGGGGCUAGAGUCUGGGAGGGGAAGAUGGAAUUAGUGGUGUAGGGGUAAAAUCCGUAGAGAUCACUAGGAAUACCAAAAAGCGAAGGCGAUCUUCUGGAAUAGUACUGACGCUGAGGCGCGAAAGCGUGGGGAGCAAACAGGAUUAGAUACCCUGGUAGUCCACGCCCUAAACUAUGAAUGUUAGUCGUCGGGAAGCUUGUCUUCUCGGUGAUGCAGCUAACGCAUUAAACAUUCCGCCUGGGGAGUACGGUCGCAAGAUUAAAACUCAAAGGAAUAGACGGGGACCCGCACAAGUGGUGGAGCGUGUGGUUUAAUUCGAAGAUACGCGAAGAACCUUACCUGGCCUUGACAUUGAUAGAAUCUGCUAGAGAUAGUGGAGUGCCCUUCGGGGAGCUUGAAAACAGGUGCUGCACGGCUGUCGUCAGCUCGUGUCGUGAGAUGUUGGGUUAAGUCCCGCAACGAGCGCAACCCUCGUCACUAGUUACUAACGGUUCGGCCGAGGACUCUAGUGAGACUGCCUUCGUAAGGAGGAGGAAGGUGAGGACGACGUCAAGUCAUCAUGGCCCUUACGGCCAGGGCGACACACGUGCUACAAUGGGAUGUACAAUGAGACGCAAUACCGCGAGGUGGAGCAAAUCUAUAAAGCAUCUCUCAGUUCGGAUUGUAGUCUGCAACUCGACUACAUGAAGCUGGAAUCACUAGUAAUCGUAGAUCAGCCAUGCUACGGUGAAUACGUUCCCGGGUCUUGUACUCACCGCCCGUCACACCAUGGGAGUUGAUUUCACCCGAAGCGGGGAAGCUAAAUUGGCUACCCUCCACGGUGGGAUCAGCGACUGGGGUGAAGUCGUAACAAGGUAACC
rnacentral:rRNA from 1 species